UGAGCCAAGUUUAGGGUUUUCUCAAAACCCAAGCAGUAUUGAACUGAAGAGUUUGAUCAUGGCUCAGAUUGAACGCUGGCGGCAGGCCUAACACAUGCAAGUCGAGCGGAUGAAGGGAGCUUGCUCCUGGAUUCAGCGGCGGACGGGUGAGUAAUGCCUAGGAAUCUGCCUGGUAGUGGGGGAUAACGUCCGGAAA
rnacentral:rRNA from 1 species